rnacentral:rRNA from 1 species
UACGUAGGGGGCAAGCGUUGUUCGGAAUUACUGGGCGUAAAGGGCUCGUAGGUGGCCAACUAAGUCAGACGUGAAAUCCCUCAGCUUAACUGGGGAACUGCGUCUGAUACUGGAUGGCUUGAGUUUGGGAGAGGGAUGCGGAAUUCCAGGUGUAGCGGUGAAAUGCGUAGAUAUCAGGAGGAACACCGGUGGCGAAGGCGGGUCUCUGGACCGCAACUGACGCUGAGACACGAAAGCGUGGGUAGCAAACAGG